rnacentral:lncRNA from 1 species
CAUGCAGUGAGCCUGGCUGCCCCAAAUUAACAAACUGCUGUGCCUGUUCACAGGUGGUGCUGGCCAGGGCAACACUGGGAACCGACUGACCUUGCUGAGGACCUCUCCCACACCGGGUCCUGCUGCCAGCCCAUCCCUAACGACCCCAGAGCCUGCAUUACAAAGCCUGUUGUUUCACAUCCUUCAGGAGCAACUUAAACUUAACUGGAACAGGGUGCCUGUCCAGAAGAGACUCUCUUCAGCAGCCCAGUGGAAGAGGGGUGGCACAUCCUGUAGCCUGCAUGACUGAUGAUAAAUGUGGUAAGACAUAAUGACUGUUUUUUAGUGCAGAGGGUAGAAACCCAUAACUCGAGGUCUACCGCAUUUUGGGUGAAUAUGUAAUCAAAAACCUUCUCCAUUUCACACUAUUUAUAGGCAGGCUUUACUUCCAUAAUUGCAGUUACUGUAGUUUAUAAAGAAAAUACAACAUGAAGAGCAAUCAUUGUAAUGAUCUGUAUAUCACAUUGCAAUCGAAUGAGAGGGAGUUUCAAGGUCAGUUGUGUGGUAGUUGUCAUCAGUCUGUGAAAUUAUCAUUCUGAAUGACAAGUUUAAUUUGCACUUUAACCCUAGUGUUAGCUUUAACUCCAUCUCCUUUCUUCUUCCUAAUAAUUCCAGUCUCUUCUUUUUUUCUGUUAAGACCAUCAUAACCUUUUUAUGAAAAGAAAUUAGAGGGAGAGAAAAUUCGUAUCUCCAGAAGGCUCCUUUUAUUUUUCUUAACAAGCUUUCUACUCCAUCCCAUUGUUCUGAAUUACAUGUGAAAUAUUCAGUUCAUUAUCAGUCAGUGUUUCAGGAGAAGAUGCCACAAAUCUUGCAGACUGUUAUUAUGGACUCAUCUACAACAUCAAAAGGAAAAAGCUAUAAUCUAUUUUAAAUGUGUUGUUUUCAUAUUCAUUGAAUGUCUCUCCUGUUACGAGAUAGGGUAAGAAGUACUCAUUUUCUCUUC